GGGAGGGGGGCUUCACGGAGCUCCAGCCAGGGCCACGGUGCGCCUGCACGUCACGGCUACUCAAACCCAAGCACGUCCCGAAAGCGGUAUUUUCUGCGUCUGGGAGGUUUUUGCAUCCUCAGUUCCCACCGCUGGGGCUGGCGGCGACCAACUGUAAGAGAAACUCACUGGGAGGCGAGGCAGGGGGGUGCGGAGGAUGGGAAGGCGACUCUGAAGGGUGGGAAGUGAAUGCUGGACUUCAUCGUCUUUCUCUGUCUUUCAGCGCGGACCUGUCGCAGCCAGAGAGCUGUCAUUUUAGCACCGGGAUUCAGAAUUGAUCCAGUCCGCAGCGGAGGGGGCACAUCCCUGCUCCGGAGCUGCUGAGUGUCUCUGGCUGGAACAAUAGUAGUUUUUCUCUGCGAGGCUGCAAUUAACAUCUUAUUUGUUCUGGCUCCAUACAGGCUUUGUCAGGAUCGCGGUGCGGCGACCGAGGUUGGGCUCUUGCAUUGCUUUCUGCUUGGCAAUGGAAUCAUGGUUUCGGGGUCUAAACUUUUGUUUCAUUUUGUAGUCUUAAUGCAUCUGAUUCUUUUUCAAGUUUCCCUAGUAACAGGUUUGGGGACGGGGUGGGAAGAAACGAGAAAAGGGGUGAAGAGAAACAACCAGAUUAUAUAGAAAGGGAAAAGGGAUAAGUUUCCCCACCUUUUAAUCUAUCUGCCUGUCUAUCUAUCUAUUAUCUGUCUAUCAGUCAUUUUGCCUCCUGGACAGUUGGCUGACGAAGUGUCUGAUAAACCAGCUUCAGAUAUAUGCUACAAAAGGUCAUUCGCCUCCUGAUUAUGUCUCUACUUGUAAACGCAGUUGGUGGUUUGCAAAACAAGUGCUAAAAUAGUGCAAUGAUGUGGUGGGAGGAAACCAUCAUGGGCAAUUCAUAUCAAGUGCUGGAAUCUUCAUAAGGAAGUCCCACUUUACCAUUAAUGAUGACAAUAACUAAAGCUGCCAGGAACAGCACAUUUGCUGACCUUUAUAAACACCAGAUUCUCUCAUUUUGCCUUCUGGAUCUCCAUGCUCUUUUAUACCAGCAAACAAGAGGAAGAAUAUUCUUUACCCACUUCCUUGACUGAAGCCUGCUCUUUUAUGAAGACAUGGCAUCUCUUCCAACCGUGUCAAACAGAAGCAAUUUACGUGUAUGCCGCUUCCAUACCCUGAUUCAAUGAGUCAGGGGCAGAAUCACUAUUUACUACAUUUUCCUGGCUGGAUCACCAUGUUUACUGUGAUGGACAACUGCCCUUCCUGAUCCAAGACCCAUGCAACAGAGCAUUACUGAAGAAAUUCACACCCUCAGGCAUUAGAUGUCCCUGUAAAGUUAUAGUCAACAGGUUCUUAUGACCUCACCACAUAGACUGUUACUUAUAAGCUCCCUCUCUUAUUACAUCUAUGGAUAUUUUGUAACUUUUCUUUGAUCAUUAAAAAGCUUCUCCUCAACUCUUGAA